AUUGAACGCUGGCGGCAGGCCUAACACAUGCAAGUCGAGCGGUAGAGAGGUGCUUGCAUCUCUUGAGAGCGGCGGACGGGUGAGUAAUGCCUAGGAAUCUGCCUAGUGGUGGGGGAUAACGUUCGGAAACGGACGCUAAUACCGCAUACGUCCUACGGGAGAAAGCGGGGGAUCUUCGGACCUCGCGCCAUUAGAUGAGCCUAGGUCGGAUUAGCUAGUUGGUGAGGUAAUGGCUCACCAAGGCGACGAUCCGUAACUGGUCUGAGAGGAUGAUCAGUCACACUGGAACUGAGACACGGUCCAGACNCCUACGGGAGGCAGCAGU
rnacentral:rRNA from 1 species